GGAAUCUUGCGCAAUGGGCGAAAGCCUGACGCAGCGACGCCGCGUGGGGGAUGAAGGCUCUCGGGUCGUAAACCCCUUUUGCCGGGGAAGAUAAUGACGGUACCCGGCGAAUAAGCCACGGCUAACUACGUGCCCGCAGCCGCGGUAAUACGUAGGUGGCAAGCGUUGUCCGGAUUUAUUGGGCGUAAAGGGCGCGCAGGCGGUUCGUUAAGUCCGAGGUGAAAUCUCCCGGCUCAACUGGGAGAGGUCUUCGGAUACUGGCGGACUGGAGGUGAGCAGAGGUGAGUGGAAUUCUCGGUGUAUUGGUGAAAUGCGUAGAUAUCGAGAGGAACACCAGUGGCGAAGGCGGCUCACUGGGCUCUACCUGACGCUGAGGCGCGAAAGCGUGGGGAGCGA
rnacentral:rRNA from 1 species